AGUGAAUAGAUACCCCGGUAGUCCACGCCGUAAACGAUGGACGCUCGGCUUGUGGUGCCAAUCACGGCAGUGCGAGCCUAAGCUGACGCGGAAGCGUCCCGCCUGGGAACUACGAGCGCAAGCUUAAAACUCAAAGGAAUUGACGGGGGCCCGCACAAGCAGCGGAGCGUGUGGUUUAAUUCGAAGCAACACGAAACACCUUACCCAGACUUGACAUGGUAGUGCAGACCGGUGAAAGCCGGGGCCCGUUCGAGGGUCGUACCACCAGAUGCUGCAUGGCGUGUCGUCAGCUCGUGUCGUGAGAUGUUGGGUUAAGUCCCGUCAACGAGCGCAACCCUCGCGGUCGAGUUACAUGUGUCUGG
rnacentral:rRNA from 1 species